GAUGAACGCUAGCGACAGGCUUAACACAUGCAAGUCGAGGGGCAGCAGGGGAGUAGCAAUACUCCCGCUGGCGACCGGCGCACGGGUGAGUAACACGUAUGCAACCUGCCCUUGUCAGGGGGAUAAGCGGAAGAAAUUCCGUCUAAUACCGCAUAACGCUGCGGGGAGACAUCUCCCUGCAGCCAAAGAUUUAUCGGACAAGGAUGGGCAUGCGGCGCAUUAGCUUGUUGGCGGGGUAACGGCCCACCAAGGCGACGAUGCGUAGGGGUUCUGAGAGGAAGGUCCCCCACACUGGUACUGAGACACGGACCAGACUCCUACGGGAGGCAGCAGUGAGGAAUAUUGGUCAAUGGCUGGGAGGCUGAACCAGCCAAGUCGCGUGAGGGAAGACGGUCCUAUGGAUUGUAAACCUCUUUUGUCAGGGAGCAAAAACUGCCACGCGUGGCAGGAUGAGAGUACCUGAAGAAAAAGCAUCGGCUAACUCCGUGCCAGCAGCCGCGGUAAUACGGAGGAUGCGAGCGUUAUCCGGAUUUAUUGGGUUUAAAGGGUGCGUAGGCGGACAGUUAAGUCAGCGGUAAAAUUGAGAGGCUCAACCUCUUCCCGCCGUUGAAACUGAUUGUCUUGAGUGGGCGAGAAGUAUGCGGAAUGCGUGGUGUAGCGGUGAAAUGCAUAGAUAUCACGCAGAACUCCGAUUGCGAAGGCAGCAUACCGGCGCCCAACUGACGCUGAAGCACGAAAGCGUGGGUAUCGAACAGGAUUAGAUACCCUGGUAGUCCACGCAGUAAACGAUGAAUACUAAUUGUUCGGGUCGAGUGAGAUCUGAGUGAUACAGCGAAAGCGUUAAGUAUUCCACCUGGGGAGUACGCCGGCAACGGUGAAACUCAAAGGAAUUGACGGGGGCCCGCACAAGCGGAGGAACAUGUGGUUUAAUUCGAUGAUACGCGAGGAACCUUACCCGGGCUCAAACGACACAGGAAUGAUCUGAGAAAUCAGGCAGUCCUUCGGGACCUGUGUCGAGGUGCUGCAUGGUUGUCGUCAGCUCGUGCCGUGAGGUGUCGGCUUAAGUGCCAUAACGAGCGCAACCCCCAUCGACAGUUGCCAGCAGGUCAAGCUGGGCACUCUGUCGAGACUGCCGGCGCAAGCUGUGAGGAAGGCGGGGAUGACGUCAAAUCAGCACGGCCCUUACGUCCGGGGCGACACACGUGUUACAAUGGCAGGUACAGCGGGAAGCCACCUGGCGACAGGGAGCGGAACCCGAAAGCCUGUCUCAGUUCGGAUUGGAGUCUGCAACUCGACUCCAUGAAGCUGGAUUCGCUAGUAAUCGCGCAUCAGCCACGGCGCGGUGAAUACGUUCCCGGGCCU
rnacentral:rRNA from 1 species